UAAAAUUGGUGUUCCUCUACUCGGUUCGGGCUGUCAAUUUUUUUCUACACUUUUAGGUGUAUUUUGUGCAAGAAAUUUCAAUAAAAUAGUCUGCCUAAGAAAAAUUGAAUUUUUUUGAAAAUUUUUUUUUUACGAAAAUCGCUUUAAUGGUCAUAAAAUUGGUGUUCCUCUACUCGGAUCGGGCUGUCAAUUUUUUUCUACACUUUUAGGUGUAUUUUGUGCAAGAAAUUGCAAUAAAAUAAUCUGCCUAAGAAAAAUUGAAUUGUUUUGAAAAAUUUUUUUUUUACGAAAAUCGCUUUAAUGGUCAUAAAAUUGGUGUUCCUCUACUCGGAUCGGGCUGUCAAUUUUUUUCUACACUUUUAGGUGUAUUUUGUGCAAGAAAUUGCAAUAAAAUAAUCUGCCUAAGAAAAAUUGAAUUUUUUUGAAAAUUUUUUUUUACGAAAAUCGCUUUAAUGGUCAUAAAAUUGGUGUUCCUCUACUCGGAUCGGGCUGUCAAAUUUUUUCUACACUUUUAGGUGUAUUUUAUGCAAGAAAUUGCAAUAAAAUAGUCUGCCUAAGAAAAAUUGAAUUUUUUUGAAAAUUUUUUUUUGACGAAAAUCGCUUUAAUGGUCAUAAAAUUGGUGUUCCUCUACUCGGUUCGGGCUGUCAAUUUUUUUCUACACUUUUAGGUGUAUUUUGUGCAAGAAAUUUCAAUAAAAUAGUCUGCCUAAGAAAAAUUGAAUUUUUUUGAAAAUUUUUUUUUUACGAAAAUGGCUUUAAUGGUCAUAAAAUUGGUGUUCCUCUACUCGGAUCGGGCUGUCAAUUUUUUUCUACACAUUUGGGUGUAUUUUGUGCAAGAAAUUACAAUAAAAUAGUCUGCCUAAGAAAAAUUGAAUUUUUUUGAAAAUUUUUUUUUGACGAAAAUCGCUUUAAGGGUCAUAAAAUUGGUGUUCCUCUACUCGGUUCGGGCUGUCAAUUUUUUUCUACACUUUUAGGUGUAUUUUGUGCAAGAAAUUGCAAUAAAAUAAUCUGCCUAAGAAAAAUUAAAUUUUUUUGAAAAUUUUUUUUUACGAAAAUCGCUUUAAUGGUCAUAAAAUUGGUGUUCCUCUACUCGGAUCGGGCUGUCAAAUUUUUUCUACACUUUUAGGUGUACUUUGUGCAAGAAAUUGCAAUAAAAUAAUCUGCCUAAGAAAAAUUGAAUUGUUUUGAAAAAUUUUUUUUUUCGAAAAUCGCUUUAAUGGUCAUAAAAUUGGUGUUCCUCUACUCGGAUCGGGCUGUCAAAUUUUUUCUACACUUUUAGGUGUAUUUUGUGCAAGAAAUUUCAAUAAAAUAGUCUGCCUAAGAAAAAUUGAAUUUUUUUGAAAAUUUUUUUUUUACAAAAAUCGCUUUAAUGGUCAUAAAAUUGGUGUUCCUCUACUCGGAUCGGGCUGUCAAUUUUUUUCUACACUUUUAGGUGUAUUUUGUGCAAGAAAUUUCAAUAAAAUAGUCUGCCUAAGAAAAAUUGAAUUUUUUUGAAAAUUUUUUUUUUACGAAAAUCGUUUUAAUGGUCAUAAAAUUGGUGUUCCUCUACUCGGAUCGGGCUGUCAAUUUUUUUCUACACAUUUGGGUGUAUUUUGUGCAAGAAAUUGCAAUAAAAUUGUCUGCCUAAGAAAAAUUGAAUUUUUUUGAAAAAUUUUUUUUUCGAAAAUCGCUUUAAUGGUCAUAAAAUUGGUGUUCCUCUACUCGGAUCGGGCUGUCAAAUUUUUUUUACACUUUUAGGUGUAUUUUGUGCAAGAAAUUUCAAUAAAAUAGUCUGCCUAAGAAAAAUUGAAUUUUUUUGAAAAUUUUUUUUUUACGAAAAUCGCUUUAAUGGUCAUAAAAUUGGUGUUCCUCUACUCGGAUCGGGCUGUCAAUUUUUUUCUACACUUUUAGGUGUAUAUUGUGCAAGAAAUUGCAAUAAAAUAAUCUGCCUAAGAAAAAUUGAAUUUUUUUGAAAAUUUUUUUUUUACGAAAAUCGCUUUAAUGGUCAUAAAAUUGGUGUUCCUCUACUCGGAUCGGGCUGUCAAAUUUUUUCUACACAUUUGGGUGUAUUUUGUGCAAGAAAUUACAAUAAAAUAGUCUGCCUAAGAAAAAUUGAAUUUUUUUGAAAAUUUUUUUUUGACGAAAAUCGCUUUAAGGGUCAUAAAAUUGGUGUUCCUCUACUCGGUUCGGGCUGUCAAUUUUUUUCUACACUUUUAGGUGUAUUUUGUGCAAGAAAUUGCAAUAAAAUAAUCUGCCUAAGAAAAAUUAAAUUUUUUUGAAAAUUUUUUUUUACGAAAAUCGCUUUAAUGGUCAUAAAAUUGGUGUUCCUCUACUCGGAUCGGGCUGUCAAAUUUUUUCUACACUUUUAGGUGUACUUUGUGCAAGAAAUUGCAAUAAAAUAAUCUGCCUAAGAAAAAUUGAAUUGUUUUGAAAAAUUUUUUUUUUCGAAAAUCGCUUUAAUGGUCAUAAAAUUGGUGUUCCUCUACUCGGAUCGGGCUGUCAAAUUUUUUCUACACUUUUAGGUGUAUUUUGUGCAAGAAAUUUCAAUAAAAUAGUCUGCCUAAGAAAAAUUGAAUUUUUUUGAAAAUUUUUUUUUUACAAAAAUCGUUUUAAUGGUCAUAAAAUUGGUGUUCCUCUACUCGGAUCGGGCUGUCAAUUUUUUUCUACACUUUUAGGUGUAUUUUGUGCAAGAAAUUUCAAUAAAAUAGUCUGCCUAAGAAAAAUUGAAUUUUUUUGAAAAUUUUUUUUUUACGAAAAUCGUUUUAAUGGUCAUAAAAUUGGUGUUCCUCUACUCGGAUCGGGCUGUCAACUUUUUUUUACACUUUUAGGUGUAUUUUGUGCAAGAAAUUUCAAUAAAAUAGUCUGCCUAAGAAAAAUUGAAUUUUUUUGAAAAUUUUUUUUUACGAAAAUCGCUUUAAUGGUCAUAAAAUUGGUGUUCCUCUACUCGGAUCGGGCUGUCAAUUUUUUUCUACACUUUUAGGUGUAUUUUGUGCAAGAAAUUUCAAUAAAAUAGUCUGCCUAAGAAAAAUUGAAUUUUUUUGAAAAUUUUUUUUUUACGAAAAUCGCUUUAAUGGUCAUAAAAUUGGUGUUCCUCUACUCGGAUCGGGCUGUCAAUUUUUUUCUACACUUUUAGGUGUAUUUUGUGCAAGAAAUUGCAAUAAAAUAGUCUGCCUAAGAAA